GGGGCAAUGCAUGAGAUUCAAUGGUUUGAUCUUCUGGUUCAGAUUCAGUGUCAGACUGGCUUUCAAUUUUAGACAGGAGAUGCUGUAAUAUGGUAGAGUCUUUCUAAUGGGCUUGUUUCAAGGUUUGUAAUUCAGAUUUAAGGGUUUUGAUCUCAGAAUGUAAUUCUGGAAUGGUGACUGUGGUUUUGGACUUCUUUUUGUUAAGAUUCUUUGUAAGGUCAUAUGUAUUGAUGCUGGUAGAGGGUAAUAGAGAGCGGUUUGGAGGAUUAUAUGGGGGGUGCUCUGGUUGGUUAAAAUCUUUCAACGGUCUAUCCAAGUAGGUUUUUUGAAGAUGAUGAUCAUCAAGUCUUUUG
rnacentral:lncRNA from 1 species